CAGAAGAUUUGGAGAACAAGGAUUUUCAAAAGAAUGUGAGGCUGCCAUGCUGGAUGCAAGUAUUUGAGUUCUUUUCAGGCCUGGGAGCAAGAAAUGGAGGAGGAAGAGAGUGCAUUGGUAUGGAUCAACUCAAAGGGAAGAUUGAAGGCAUUUUCCAGCAUGGAUUUAGUAGAUUUUACUUGGUGCUGCAUCUCAGGGAGGUGAAGACCUUUGGGUUGCCAUGGUAACGGAGAGCAGGGACACGUGGGUGGCUCAGUUGGUUAAGUGUCUGCCUUCGGCCCAGG